rnacentral:tRNA from 1 species
UCCCUAGACCAGCGGGCCUCGAUCCCACGAUCACUUAGUUAACAACUAAACACCCAAGCCAGCGGGCUUUAAUCUAC